ACAACACCACCAGGGCCGGCUCUACUGUUUUGCCCAUACAAGGUUCAGGGCCAGCUCGCCCUCUCUCAUAUUGCCAAGGCCAGCUCUCUUGCUGCGGCAGAUGGCAAGGGUUGUGGGGGCAUCUUUCCCUCACCCAAGCCACCACGUGGCAGAUGAAGGAGGCGGGGUCAUCUCGCCUGUUCUCAUGCUCUCAGGGAAGGCUCUCUUGCACCCCUGCCAACAGGGUCAGUUCUAGUGUGCUGCCCAGGCAAGGUGCAGGGUCCUUUCUCCCAUGUGUCGCUGGCUCUCAAACUCUCGUGACACCCGGAUCCAGCUCUUCUGCCUGAAGAGAUGGGAAUUUCAGUGACUGGAAAUUGGUUUCCCAACUUGCUGUUAUCAAUCAUGAAAGAAGUUGCUCACUGCUCAUGGACUAACUGCCGUCGGCUGUUGUCAUUUCCUGAGAGAACACUUUCGCAUAGCCGGAGAAAGUUGAAAUCCAGGCUCUCCCCAAGGAAAUGCUGCUUCAUGGGUUGUAGCUGCUUGUCAGGCUCAUGACUCAACAAACUGAAAUAUUGCCAAGGAAGAUUUCAUUUCAAAAUUCAAGUCUGCUCAGUCACAGCACAGAUGUUGCUGAACGUAAUUAAUUACCUUCAGGAAAGCUCUGUUGUUGUUAGGCAGCGAAGAAGAGCUAUAGAGGAGAAACAGCCUGAUCCAGCAUGCAGAGGUCAACAGGAUGGCAACAAAGGGUCGUGCCAUUUUCCUCAUUCAUAACAUCGGGUCCAUGAUCACUUUAUGCAGAUGAAACAUGAAAAAGAAUUCUGGAGGACUACUUCUUAGUGGCUAAUGACAAACAUUUUCUCGUGUGUGUGUGUGUGUGUGUGUGUGUGUGUGUGUGUGCGCGCGCGCGUGUGUAGGUCUAACAUUUGGAUGCUGUUAGCUUAUUUUAGAGCAUAGCUUUUAGUGUUCCUUUUAGAAGAUACUCACUGCACAGAAAUGCUACAUUCCCAGAAGUGACUGGGGUUCACUGAAGGAAAAGUACCUUGGGGACAGAGGUGCCUGUCACAGGAGUGAUCUACUUCACUUGAUUCCAUCUCUCACUGGGAAAACCAUUCUUGAAUCACAGGGUAUGGUUGUCAACUCCCUAAAGUAAAGUGCAGUGACGGGGCCUUUAAGCAGACAAUGCUAGGAAAAGCAAGCAUUUGGUAACCAAGGAGAGAGUCAUGAUCCCAGGGGUACUGUGGACUUAGUUCUUGGCCAGGGAGCACUUCUUGGCAUCUGCUGCUUGCCAUUUCUCUGCUCGGGCCAGCUCACUUGUGCCAGAGCUGAUUGCUAAAUUGUGGAAAAUUUCUCAGCCCUUAUCAACUGCUGGUAGCAAAAGUUUAGUCAGAGUAGAAGCAUUUAAACCACAAAAUAUGCAAAUGGUUCACAUCUGUGCUUUUGUUUAAUUUCUUAAUAAUUUUUUGAGAGCUGGCCUGGUGGUGGACUCAUGUCCGUAGGUCCUGACAAUGCAAGCUCUGGCCUCUACCCCAUGGCUUUCUCCUGAAGGCCUUUAGCUCUUUCCUUUAUUUUAUUCAUUAAUUUUUUUUCUGACUUUGCCAUUGAGGCAACCAUCACACACCAAAGAUGCUUAGGAGUUUGUUCUCAUAAAACGCAUGCUGGAAAACAUUUUUUCUUUUCUUUUCUUUUUCUUUUUCUUUUUCUUUUUGAGUUUGGAGUUUAUUGAGAGGAGGGUAUAGGGGAGGGAAGGAAGAGACAGAGACAGAGAGAGGGAGAGAGAGGAAAAAGCCUGCUUGCCUCUUAGAAGAGCAGGGGGAAGAGAGCCAAGUUUUCUUUUCUAUUUAAACCAAGGUGCUAAGAUCUAGGACAGGAGUUCUCUGCCUGGGGAUCACAUCCCCUUUGGAGGUUCAACAGUAUGAUUCUUUCAUAGGGGUCACCUAAGACCACAGGGAACUGCAGACAGUAACAUUACAAUUCAUAACAGUAGCAAACAUGCCGUUAUGAAGUAGCAAUGAAAAUAAUUUUAUGGUUUGGGGUCACCAAGGUUGAGAAUCACUGCUCUAGGAGGAAAUGCUGAAGGACAAGGGAUUUCUUCUGGGGGAUCAUUAAUGAUAUAAACAUCUCUUCCUACAUGUCUUGGGGCUAGAGAAAUGUGACAUUCACUUACAAAUAAUAAUUAAUGGACACCAACUGAGGAUUCUUGGUGGCCAGUUCUUUGAGUCACUCCCAACCACAGAAUACACUUUCUUCUGAGCAACAGAGGAAGGUCGUGUGCCCCAGCAACACAGUGAGUAUUUGCAGAUAGGUUCAAAGAUCCUGAGAACAGGAAAUAUGUGACUUAGAACUGGGUGGAAGGAGAGGAUGACAAUUCCAAUUAUCAAUCUGUGCAUCUGUGCCUGCUGUACCCAAGGGGUGAUCUGUCCCAGACUUUGACACACUAUACAAUGUGGAUCGUGUGCACACACUGUUCUGGGCACAAAACCUAUUGACAAAUUCCCUACUUCAUGGAGACUUCUGAGAGCGGUACUGUCUGUCUAUGUCAGCGUGGCAAUGUUUUGUUUCAGGAAAAGUCUUACAACGAAACAGUGGAACUUCAGGGAAGACCUUUACUGCUGGCUUCAGGAAAUUCUUGUAAACUGGUUUAUUCUCACCAUACAGUUCGCCCUUCUGGCUUAACGCCUCCUGUGGCAAGCAAAAGCCGGACUGCCAGUCUUCCUGUCGAGACUCUCUUUUCUGUUGUCCACCGAACGUAGAGCAUCAUGUCAGCGCUAUGCCCAGUUCCAGUUAGUUCCUGCCUUGACAGACAAGUUUGAGCCUUUUGAGUUCUGCUCCUGUCAUCCAUCCAGACACAAAGCUCUGUCAAAGUCUUCUCCUUGAGUAAAUGUAAUAGGUUCAGCUUUUCUUAAUUAGACAUGUUGUUCGUUGUUAUUGUUUUAAUUUUGAAGAUGACACAUUUCAGUGGACAGCAGAAUGUAAGAACAAGGGAGACAAUACUUCAUAACUACUUUUUUUGAUAUAAUUACAACCUCGACUUUCUAUACCUUUGUCCUGAAAGAAUUGGACUACUGCUUUUUGUACAAACAUGAAGCUGUGGUUUGGAUCUAGGUGGAAUGAGUCUCCCAGAAACUCACGGUGGAAAGUUUAAUUCUCCACCCACCCAUGUGCUACUGUUGAAAAGAGGUAAGAUCUUUUCAGAGGUGGGGACUGGGGGAAGGUUUUAGGUCAUUGUGGAUUUGCCCUCAAAGGGAGGUUAAUAUAAUUCUCAUGGGGCCUGUCUCUUGGCCCCAUGUGUCUUGUCUCACCCUGUAAACCCUCUCUUACGUACCUGUCUGCCACGGUGUCAUCCUCCAUUAGGCAAUGAGCCUGGGAGCACCCUUAGGCAGUACAAUGAGAUUUGGGCUUUUCUUUACUUUUCUUUACUAAGUGUCUAGCCUUGGCCAUUUCAUUAAGAAACAGAAAGCAGGGUAAUAUACUUGGUAGACACAUGAUCCACUUUCAGGGACAUUUUGAUUUCAGAGUAGUUCAUUCUAUAGUGGUUUCUUCAGUUUACAUCUAACGUUUUCCAGAACUCUAGAUACAAAGGGCGCCUGAAGGUAGGCAGGUGAGUCACCAGAACUGGAUAUAGACCUGUUGUGAGAAGGAGGGAACUUGGCACAAAAGCAGGGCCACUUCCUCCUGUCAUAUUAAAUGUUGCCUUAAGCUCAUCUGUUGAAAUGUUCUAGGCUCAAGUAAUACUGCAUUGGCUUGGCACACUGUGUUUUUUUAAAAAUGAAUUGCUUCCUGGCUCUCUGUACCACUGUGCAGGUGACCCUAGGGCUGGGAAUGGAUAACGGGCACCUAGAGCCUGCAGAUGACUGAAAAGGGUGUCCUCAGGUGGGCUGUGACAUCUGCUUUACCAGAAAAUGCGAAAAUUUCUGUCUUUACUAUGAUGAUUAUGAAAACUCUAUUUACAAUGUGGGAAAUUAUUAAUACUCUCACAUUAUGUGGGUCUUCAGGGACGUGAUAAAGAUGCCUUAUUCAGCAAAGCUGAGAAGAGAGUGGGAAGUAAAACACACAUGGAGUAUCUGCUCUGGACAGCUACCCUCAUGGCCUUUUCUAGACAAUAACUCAUUUGACUCUCACACCAGCCUCACAAGGGAGAGCUUUAGUAUUGCAUGGAUGGGGCAUCUGUGGUUCUGAGAGGUUGUUCUGUAUCGCAGGUGACAGACAGAGGCACUAGUGUGUUCGGCUGACCACUCCCCACUAGACGUUCUCAUGGAGUGCCCCAACCCCUGGAACAGUAGUAGGCCAUGGGAGUAGGGAGACGGGGUCACAGGAGAUGGUUCCAGAUCCUUCUUCAGCUCUCAUGUCUUAUAAAACUACUUCAAAGUUACCUCAAUGCGUUUUAACAUAAGCUAGACCACAAUAGAAAUCCCAGUCCUGGUUUAAUAGCACUUCAAAUAGAUCUAAGGUUAUAAAAAAGCAUAAUACUUUAAUGUGAAAAUAUAACAAUUUUUGCGGCACUUAAAUUAUAACUAUUAUGAAUUGAGUCUACAUUUUGGCUAACCAUGACCUAGAAAUGGAAAACAAGGCUCAGCUGUGAGCGAGAACAGCACUGAUCCCUGUGUAUGAGUGUUCUGCCUUAGAACAAAUGAUGACUAGGAGACAACAUCCAUAAUAUGACCUCCAAUGCCUGUUUAUAUCGGGAAUGAUUUUAUGUAUUAGAAAACCGAUAUUCAAAUUUAAAAUGGCUGUACAGAUUUGGUUACAUAUUCUUUUUUUAUUAAAAAUUUCCAUAUUAUUAA